AUGAACGCUGGCGGCGUGCCUCAUACCUGCCAGUCGAGCGAACGGACGAGAAGCUUGCUUCUCUGAUGUUAGCGGCGGACGGGUGAGUAACACGUGGAUAACCUACCUAUAAGACUGGGAUAACUUCGGGAAACCGGAGCUAAUACCGGAUAAUAUUUUGAACCGCAUGGUUCAAAAGUGAAAGACGGUCUUGCUGUCACUUAUAGAUGGAUCCGCGCUGCAUUAGCUAGUUGGUAAGGUAACGGCUUACCAAGGCAACGAUGCAUAGCCGACCUGAGAGGGUGAUCGGCCACACUGGAACUGAGACACGGUCCAGACUCCUACGGGAGGCAGCAGUAGGGAAUCUUCCGCAAUGGGCGAAAGCCUGACGGAGCAACGCCGCGUGAGUGAUGAAGGUCUUCGGAUCGUAAAACUCUGUUAUUAGGGAAGAACAUAUGUGUAAGUAACUGUGCACAUCUUGACGGUACCUAAUCAGAAAGCCACGGCUAACUACGUG
rnacentral:rRNA from 1 species